AACAGGAAAAUGAAAAGACAAAGGCAAGAAAAGGAAAUGUCAAGAACACAGCUUCUCGAUCAACCACGCCGGAGCAAGACAGCCACCAAUGAAGAUAAUCGAAGGCAAGCUCGCCGGUUUUGAAAAUCGUGAAGAUUGAGUUGAUUUCCUGGUUCGAUUCCAAGUUUAGCGGUCUCAAAGCUCUCACCAGACGCUGUGAAAUCAAAAUCCAAGAUGAAGUUGAACUUAAUCAGCUUUUCUAUGCGAUGACUCAAAAGUUAGGAUUGCAAUAACAACAAUGCCUCAAUCCUAAACAGGUUGAGGUUAGCUAUUCUAAUUCUCACAAAACCAUGAUGCUCCAUUCUAUGCUUCAAUCCUAAACAAGUUGAGCUUGGCUAUACGAUCAAUCUGUCAAAACUGAACUUGAUGUCCUCAAUGCUGGAAAAUGAGUUCAAUGUCUGAGUUGAUAUUGAUUCAGGAGAAACAUCAACGUCAUCAUCAUCCUGAUGGACAAUUAGAGCUCAACGUAUAUAUCAACUAUUCUUGAACCAUAUAUAAUUGAGGAGAUAGUUGUUGGAAAAAUAAUUCUAGUAUCUCAAAAAGACUUGUUUAUAUUAUUA